rnacentral:rRNA from 1 species
UGGGGAAUAUUGCACAAUGGGGGAAACCCUGAUGCAGCGACGCCGCGUGAACGAAGAAGGUAUUCGUAUCGUAAAGUUCUGUCCUAUGGGAAGAUAAUGACAGUACCAUAGAAGAAAGCUCCGGCUAAAUACGUGCCAGCAGCCGCGGUAAUACGUAUGGAGCGAGCGUUGUCCGGAAUUAUUGGGCGUAAAGGGUACGCAGGCGGUUUAAUAAGUCGAAUGUUAAAGAUCGGGGCUCAUCCCCGCAAAGCAUUGGAAACUGAUAAACUUGAGUAGUGGAGAGGAAAGUGGAAUUCCUAGUGUAGUGGUGAAAUACGUAGAUAUUAGGAGGAAUACCAGUAGCGAAGGCGACUUUCUGGACACAAACUGACGCUGAGGUACGAAAGCGUGGGGAGCAAACAGG